GCUGGUGGCGAUGCGCUUAGGGGACACACCCGUUCCCAUCCCGAACACGAUGGUUAAGACCUAAGCGGCCGAUGGUACUGCACUGGAGACGGUGUGGGAGAGCAGGUGGCUGCCAGCU
rnacentral:rRNA from 14 species